CUGUCGUGAGAUGUUGGGUUAAGUCCCGCAACGAGCGCAACCCCUACGUUUAGUUGCUAACGCGUGAAGGCGAGCACUCUAGACGAACUGCCGUUGACAAAACGGAGGAAGGUGGGAUGACGUCAAAUCAUCAUGCCCCUUAUGUUCUGGGCUACACACGUGCUACAAUGGCCGGUACAGACGGACGCAAAGCCGCGAGGUGGAGCAAAUCCUAAAAAGCCGGUCUCAGUUCGGAUUGCAGGCUGCAAUUCGCCUGCAUGAAGUCGGAAUCGCUAGUAAUCGCAGGUCAGCAUACUGCGGUGAAUACGUUCCCGGGCCUU
rnacentral:rRNA from 2 species